UUAAGGAUUGGCAGUAGAGGCACAUGUAUUUCUCUGGACUUCCCUGUUUAUUGAAGGCCUUCUGAAGGGGAAAAAAGUACCAGCAACGUGUUCCUGGACAGAAUGUACUGGGGAAAUACUGGCUACAUGUACUAUGUGACAAUUGCAGUCACUUCUACUUGGAAGUGUCAGCACUGCCAUACAGAGAGGCACAAGGACCUUACUAAGAGUGGACCUCAGAAGUAACAGAGGAAGUCCCUGCUUCUGGAGUUGUCAUUGAAGGCAGCAUAUGGCUCUCCUGCAGUCAGGGAUGGAUCCUGCAGUGCGAUCUAGCCAGCCUUCACACCUCCGAUUCCCACAACCCCCACACAGAGGUCACCACUUUCAGCUAGGAGGCUCUGUGCAGUCGCAGUCAGCACCCAUUCCCCAGAGUGCUUAUCUGGCCUGCAUAUCCUGGAUGAUUUUUUACCAUAAUCACUGGAAAGAUUUGAGCUGGAGAGCAAUUGUCUGCAGAAUGCUGUUAGCUGGGAGAUUAAUCUGGAUAACUUGAAGUGUCUUGACUGGAGAUUUUAGAAUUGGCACAUUCUAUUUUCAACAUAUAAACCUAUUCUGAUACUUAUACAGAGACAUAAAAUAUAGGAGCAAUGUUUAAUAUAUUUACUUUCAUAGGACAGCUACAUGUAUCCUGAAACUGAAGCUCUUAUCUUUGUUUUCUUUACUUGUUAUCCAGUAAUAUGUAAAUUAUUGAUUACAUGCACUCAGGCUUAGCAAAUCUUGCAUUCGGAUGUACCUUUUUAAUGACUGAAAUAGUGAUUUUUUUAAGAGUCUGUGGGUAGUAACAUUAAUUGGCAUUCAGAACUGAAGAACUGCUUUAACCCACCUACUAAACAAAUAUGUCUGUCAUGAUGCUGUCGUGGUUACCUUUGAUGUAAAAUCACAUUUUUAUUGAGCAAGAAUGGAGGGGCAAUGCUAUUUGGAAGGAAGAGUUCGGGUGACAGUGACACUGAUUUGUAAGAUCAGGUUCUGACAUAUUGUUGCUGCUACUUUCACUUUCAUGGAGUUGCUUAGAUGCAGCUGAAAUGGACUCAGAAUGUGGUUUACAAAGGACUUAAGAGUGUUCCUCAUCUGACUGCCAAAGAAAGAAAGCAAGGGAGAAGGGAGGAUCCUCCAAGACAGUAGUGUGUUUGCUAAGAAAGAAACAGAGAAAGGUAAAGAGAAUGGAAAGUUUAGAUGAAGUUGGAAGAACUGCAUAAACGAAGUUCCAUUCAAGGUUAGAAGUGUGGUCUUCAACAUCACCCCCACGCUGGCUCAAAGUCAAAUUAAAUAAUGAAUGUUUUCCUUGACCUUGUGCUACUUUUGCAAUGUGUUAUACGAUAUGUUCAAAAGUUAAACUGGCCCUUAAUAAUACUUCUCAGUUUGGUGUUAUUGUUGGAGUACCACAUAUACCGUAAUCCUCCUGGUCUCAGACAAAACUGUCAGUGUUUUCAGGGCAGGUUUCACCAAAUUGUCCAAAGAAAGCUUGUGAACAGAGACUCAUUUCAGAACAGUACUACACAUUCUCAAUGCUUGCUGAAAUAGUAGCUGAAAUGGCUUGGAAAGAUCACUGCAGUGGUGUGUGGAGGUAUGUCAUCAUUGCUUAUUUUCAUCAGCUUGGAAAUCCAAUGAGAUCACUGAGAAGCAGCAAGAAAGGAGUGACACUGUUCAGUGGGAAGCAAUGGACUUGAAUUCCUUCAGGUAAAGAGGAAAACGUGCAUGUUUUGCUCUUGGAAUCAGCGAGUUCAUAUUCUGCUUCCAGAAAACAGGAAUAGGCCGACACUAUGAAAGAGAUGCAACUGUGAGCU